UAUAGUCAACAAAAAAUAUACAAGCUGGAUCCAUUUAAACUAGGUCAUAUUUAUCCUCUCAAGGCUGCUUAUUAUAAUCUUCUAAUUUUUUUUUAAAUUUUUUUAAUCUACUCUGGUAAGGCUGAAGAGAAGAUAGGAAUGGAAGAGAAGGUUUUGAUGGAAGAAGAUAAUCUUCUAAUUUUUUAAUUUUUUUUAAUUUACUCUAGUGAGGGUGAAGAGAAGAUAGGAAUGGAGGAGAAGGAUUUGAUGGAAGAAGUAAGAGUAUGAGUCGAGAGGAGAAGAGGAAGGCAAUGAAGAAAAUGAAGCGGAAGCAGGCAAGGAAGGAGGCCUCGGAGAGGGAGCGGCGGGAGGAAGAAGAGCGCCUGAUCGACCCCGAGGAGCAGAGGCAAAUGCAGUUGCUGGAGCAGCAGGAGGCUGAGAGGAUGCAGAGGGACAUGAUCCUCUUCCAGGAGAGAGAGAAGGAGUGGAUGGACACGGUUAUUGCCCGAAAACAACAGCAGCAGCAGCACCAACAACAACGAGAAGAAGAAGACGAGGACGAUGAAUUCGAUUGCGUGGAGGAAGAAGGCCCUCCAGAGAUCAUUUGGCAAGGAAAUGAGAUCAUCUUCAAGAAGAAACAACUCAGAGUUAGGGUUACCGACAAGGACAAGCCAAAGCCUAAUGAGACUAAUCAAAACGACCACCAGCAGGAGGAUAAUAGACCUACAUCCAAUCCCUUACCCCCGGAUUCGACGCUCGAGAAUGUUGCUCAACAAAUACCCAAUUUCGGAACUGAACAGGAUAAAGCUCAUUGCCCUUUUCAUCUAAAAACAGGAGCAUGUUGUUUUGGCAUACGCUGUAGCAGAGUCCAUUUUUACCCUGAUAAGUCGUCCACUUUUCUUAUCAAAAAUAUGUAUAACGGUCCUGGCCUUGCUUGCGAUCGGGACCAAGAUGAGGGCCUUGAGUAUAAAGAUGAAGAGGUUGAACGCUGUUUUGAAGAAUUUUACGAGGAUGUUCACACAGAGUUCCUGAAGUUUGGGGAAGUUGUGAACUUCAAGGUGUGUAAAAAUGGUUCAUUUCACUGGCGAGGAAAUGUCUAUGUACAGUAUAAAUCUCUUGAUUCUGCUCUGCUUGCUUAUAACUCGGUGAAUGGUCGCUACUUUGCUGGGAAACAGGUAAGUUGUCAAUUUGUUAACUUAACAAGAUGGAAGGUUGCCAUAUGUGGCGAGUAUAUGAAAUCAGGUUUCAAGACUUGUUCUCAUGGAACAGCAUGCAAUUUUAUCCACUGUUUUCGUAAUCCUGGCGGAGACUAUGAAUGGGCUGAUUCUGACAAACCUCCCCCGAAAUUUUGGGUAAAAAAGAUGAUCACUUUAUUUGGUUUUUCUGAUGAUUAUGAGACUUCAAGGGAGCAAGGAAAUUUGAGUUUGUCAAAAACAGAUUCUGACAGAAGUUACCACUCUAGAAGAAGGUCAAGAUCUAGGGAGACGACGGAUCAGUUAAAAUGUGGCCAUUAAGGUAGAAGAAAACAGCAAGAUGAAACAAAGCAUAGAACUCCUGAUAAGGAUUGGAAUGCCAACUUUAAAAGGAAAUCCAGAGGCAGAACUCCUGAUUCCGAUUCGGAUUCUGACUGGGAAUGGUUAGAAAAGGAGGAAAAUAGGGAAAGGCACCAUGUAUACACUCUGAAUAGUAGAAGCCAUGAAGAAGAUUCUGAUGUGGAAUGGGAUAGUAGGGUCAAUGAAAAACAGCUUGGCAGAGAAGGAAGAAACUCAAGAAAGUGGAGCAGAGAUGAGAAAAGGCACCAUAUUAGCAAAAAAAAAAAACAAUCAGGGUGGCGGUGAUGCUUCUGAAUCCGACAAAGAUUUGCUUGGUAGAGGAGAGAUGGAAACACAACAUGAUUAUUACUCUAGGAAAAGGUCAAGACACAGAAGAAGAUCAGGUCUUCAGGAUGAGUAUAAAUACCAUGAGAAUGAAAAUGACAAAGUUGAUGGAGAUUGGUCUCGUAAGGACUGUUCCCAGCGAGAAGAGCAUCAUCACAAAAAGAAGACAUCAAAACAUUAGUAGAGAUUGAUUCCAUCCAUGGUUAGUUAGAACUCGAGUGGGGGGAGGGCAUCAUAUAAACAAGGGAAGUGACAAUCAAUUGUUACUCACUAUAAAGAGCAAAGACUUUGAUGUGGUGCACCAAAACUACCUUGGGGCAUAGUAAAAUACCUCCAAAACAUUUCCAUUAGUAAAUAAGAUGGGCAUGGUACAACACAUGGACAAAAAUUGGGGAGAAAAGCGUGCAAGGUAGAUUGAAUUAUGAAAUGAAUAAAACUAAAUGGGAAUAGUGGGAUAGCAUAUUCAUGGUCUUCCAUCACAAACUCGUGAAUACAUGGAAUGGUAUUUUAAAAAUUUGAUAUCUUUCAUGACUAUGCAAAGGCCACAGGUUACAGUUGACAUGGGGUUGGUAACACAAGUGUUGAAACACAUCAAAUGAAAUCACAACAACGUGCACGAAGGAGGAGAACACCUCUAAUCCUAGCAUCGUGCUCAAUAAAGAUUUUGAGCCACCUCAUCAUUCAUUUGCAUUCUCUGUAUUUCAACAACAACCAUAGUCAAAUAUUGACAAUUGUUCACACUCAUUUGUAUCAGCUCCUAAAGAAUUUGUUACCAAUUUGUUUGGUGCAAACCUUGGAAUGCCAGAGUCAACUCAUACAUACAUGCAAAAUAUGUACUCCGCUAAAUACUCAUCAUAUCAUCUUAAUGAUGCUAGCAAUUCUUCUUGCAUGCAACAUUUGAUAGUUUUACUCCGUCGUCAUUUAAGUAUUAGUCAAGAUGUGGACGAAUCAUAUCAAGAAAUUGUUGACAAUCGACAAAAUGCAACACGACAACAACAACAACCCUGCCAAAAUCCUCUACAUAAUAAGAGACGACAACAACAAUGUGGAACUAGACACCACUACGGGGAUUACUUUUAACUUUCCGCAUUUAGUUAAUUGAAAAAAUAUUGUUAGUAUCAUGUCUGUUACUUUUAUUGGUACAAGUGACAAUGAUUAUAAGAUUUGGUUU